UCACGGCCACCAGCAGCAUUCUAGAGUUGCCGCGGAAGCAAAUGCAAUAAUCAGCAGCGGCAAGAGGCUAAGGUUCUGGGGGAGAAAAAGGCCUGGUCCCAUAGCACAUGGAACCAAUGAGGAGACAUCUGCAGGAGGAAGCUCACUUCAGGCCCCACCUGAGGAAGGACACCCAUAAGGUAACAAAGAUAAAAUCUUUCACUGCAAUAAACUAUAAUACCACCAAGUAUUACAAAUUCAAGUCGUCUCACUCUUUGGACUAGCUAAUGACAACCUAUGUGCAGGAGAAUUUCAUUCAUCUAACAAGUACUCAAUGAACAGCAAAUGGGUCCAUUCACCAUCCUGUUUCGGUCCAAGGAUAACAUCUCUGUGCUGAUAAUUCUCAAAUCUAUCCAUUCUGCCUCAAUCUCUCUACUGACCUCCAACCCGUCACG